rnacentral:lncRNA from 1 species
GGCGAGGCCCGGGACCCACCGCCCAGGCCUGGCUGGGACGCACGGGUUCCCCCCCCCCCGCCCCCGGCGGUAGGAGGGGCGCUUAAAGGGAAAACGCGGGUCGGCGAGGUCGUUCAGGGUUGACCUUUGGGCCUCUGGCCAACUUGGGCGGUGGCCGGCGAAUCCCCGCCCAGCCAGGUGUCAGUCCUCGAGGCCAGGCCGGACACCGCCGGAGCGAGGGCCACGGGGACGGGGUGCUGGCGCUGCCCGCGAGACCUGACCCCAGCCCAGCGAGCGCCUUGCUGCCCUCGUCCCGUCCCAGCCCUCCGGAGAGAGGGCCCCGGGGGUCAGGGGCUUGGACGCUCCCGGGGGAAUAUAGGGCCUGGUCGCUGCAUCAAAAUGAAUUUUGUGAAGCGAUUUCCUGCCGCUAUAUUAAAAUGUAACCGGUGAGUUAGCCCGGGCGAGAAAGGAAGUGAAAAGGCUGGGAAUGGAAUCACAUUUUUCCCCUUGGGACGCAGACCCACUGCGAAAUUCUUCCACUGUGUUGUUUGUGUUCUCCGGCUUGCCUUUAAAAGACGAAAUUAUCUGGAUUCUGACAUCCUUCUUUUCAGGCCUGCUGAGUCACGGAAUAUUCUCAGCGCCAGAAUGACUCAGUUCGCAGAACCCGAGCCAGAAGAUCAUGAGUUUCGGUCCUAGAUCAGAACCUGGGCACUGGCCCAAUAUAGAGCAAAUGAUGACUGGGUCCGAGUGACAGUAGCCCAGCAGAAUGCGGCGGUUCUCAGACUUUUGAGUCCUCGAGCAAAGUGGAUGCUCGAAGUGAAUGCCCAGGAUGGAUUUUUUUUUUUUUAAACUUUUCAGAAAAGUAAGAAUACUACACGGUUUUAGAUCCAGUAGGCCUGUUCAGACAGGGAUAGUGGGGAUCUGAAACAAUAAAAUAAGUAAAUGUUAGGUGACUAUGGUUAGGGUCAGUGUUAGUCCCACAAUUACUAAUUAGGAGGGCCUUAGGCAUAAUGGUCUAGUUGGAUUGGGCGGAGGCCUGGGGCGUCCAGAGGACUUUGGCAGAGCCUGCUUUUUGAGUAUAUCAUCAUAUAUUGCUAUGAGGUAUUGUUCGUUUAUUGGAUGAGAUAGGUGGAGAUGAUACAUAGUUAGAAGUCUCAAACCAUUCACCCAGCACCCUCUUUUUGGGAGAAGGAAGUUGUGAGGACAAUAAUAAUGUUUAAUCCUUUCAUACUGGAGUUGAAGCAUCAGUAUAUUCACUUAUACCUAAAGGAGAUGAUAUCCUCAGCUCUUCCUUGUGCUUGGGAACAAAGGAGCAAAGAUAAAGACGUAAGUUGUAAAUAAAGCUACAGAUACUUUAAUAAGUAUAUAUAAUAAAUAUUAAUGCAUUUCCCUUAUUCUACAUUUUCAGGACUUUAUUAAUACCAACAAACUAAAGGAACCUCAUCUGACAUUUGUAAAGCACAUAAAGAGACCUUGACUUCAUCUCUAAAUCCCAUUGUGCAG